AUGCAUUUACCAUACCACAAAACUGCUUUUAAUAUUUAUUUAUUUAUUUAUUUAUUUAUUUAUUUAUUUAUUUAUGACACACAGAAAGAGGCAGAGGGAGAAGCAGGCUCCCUGCGAGGAGCCCACUGCGGGACUCAACCCCAGGACCCAGGAUUACGACCUGAGCCAAAGUUACACGCUUCACCAACCGAGCCCCCAGGGGCCCUUGAUGCACAGAAGGCCAGAAUUCUGAGCAGGGCUGCCGGGUGCCAGUGGCAUGUGGAGGACUGUGGCUGAGCUGCUCUGGUCCUCACUUCUCUGGAGCCAAAUGUAUCUAUAAACAUCAGGUUGGACCUAACAGAGCUUCAUGGAUACCUCCUUCUCCAGAGGUGAGCUGGUGGGAUCAUCAGAAAUGCCCAGAUGGGUUGCCUGCCCCCAGAGGGUGCCCAUGCAUAUGGUGGGCACCUCAUCCUGCAUGACAAGGGUGCCCUGAAGGCUAAGCUGACCUGGGUACAAAUCUGGCUUCAACCCCUCCUCAGCUGUGAGGACUUAGUAAGUCAUUUCAAGUCCCUGAAACUCAAUUCCCAUCUGUAAAAUGGAGACACAAAUGCUCCUCUCAUAAGGUGGUAAAAGGAAUGAAAUGAGAUUGGCUACGGAUGUGUAGGUAGAGCAUGCCAGAAGCACUCAGUAAAUAAUGGUGGUUUAUCAUCAGUAGCAGCAACUCCAUCGUGCUAGCCAUCCACCCACCACUGGCUGAUCCAUCCAUCGAUUCGUUUGCCCAUACGUCCAUUCAUGCACCAAUUCAUUUGCCCAUCUACCCAUCCAUCUGUCCAUUUAUCCACCCGCUCAUCCAUCAUCCUUCCAUCCAUCUGCUCCUCAUUCAUCCUCCUACCCAACUGUUUCCUUUCUUCACUAUUUAUAGAAUCAACAUUCUCCCUCUUCUCUCACCUCCAGAGAUUUUUCUAGCAUCUAAUCCCAACCUGCCCAGUACAAACUCUCUAUCCACCUCCCACCACUGACAGAGUCAGACCCAAACUUCAAACUUAGCUGGGUCUUCACCCUCUACAUCGGACCCAGCAGAGUCCUUGGGGCUUGUGUGCUGGAAGAAGAGGGCAGCUGCCCACUCUCACCCCUUCCCACUCCUCUCCAGCCAAGCCUAGACUGGCAACAUUGGAGCAGGGUGCCCUGCAGGCAACUGAUCAUGCAUUCAUUCAUUCAUUCAUUCAGGCAAUACAUGUUGGGCACCCACUGAGUGCCAAUCACUGCAUCAGCUGUGGAGACAGAGCAGUCAACAAAACAGAAUCUUUGGGAUCCCUGAGUGGCUCAGUGGUUGAGCGCCUAUCUUUGGCCUAGGGCAUGAUCCUGGAGUCCUGAGAUCGAGUUCCACAUCGGGUUCCCUGUGUGGAGCCUGCCUCUCCCUCUGCCUAGGUCUCUGCCUCUCUCUGUGUGUCUCUCAUGAAUAAAUAAAGUCUUAAAAAAAAAAAAACCACAGAAUCCUUGCCCUUGUACAGCUGGGGCCCUAAUGCAGAAGAUUGAAUAAACAAGCUAAGUGAGGAAUUAGAAUAUUGGGUGUCAUGGAGAAAAAUAAACCAGGGCGAAGGGAUGGGGUGCAGGAGUGCCAUUUUUGGUUGGACCACAAAAGUUUCACUGAGAAAACACCUGAGGGAGGUGAAGAAGGAGCCAUGAGGCUAUCUGGAGAAAGUGUGGUCCAGGCAGUGACAAUAGCAUGUGCAAAAGCCCUGAGGUAGUAGGACUUAUCUAGUGAGUUCCAGGAGAAGCCCAUGUAGUUGAGCAGAGAAAGCAAAAGCAAGACACGAGGAGGCUUGUGUCAGGGGUUCAUGGUGAGCCUUGAGGUCUUUGGAAGACUUUGCCUUUGUUUCUAGAUAGGGAGAGCCAUGGGAAGGUUUUGAGCAGGGGGUGCGGUGACCUGAGCUGACUUAGGUUUCAAAAGGGAAGCAGGAGAGGCUUCUGGAGCAAAUAAGUGAGCCUGACCAGCAAGCUCCUUUUGCUCCUCCCCCAAGACCGUGGGGUGGCUGGUGGUUGUAAUUGUGGAUUAAUCCUGAGGUAUCCCUGGGUGGCGCAGCGGUUUGGCGCCUGCCUUUGGCCCAGGGCGCGAUCCUGGAGACCCAGGAUCGAGUCCCACGUUGGGCUCCCGGUGCAUGGAGCCUGCUUCUCCCUCUGCCUGUGUCUCUGCCUCUCUCUCUCUCUCUCUCUCUCUCUCUCUCUCAAUCUGUGACUAUCAUAAAAAAAAAAAAAAAAUCCUGGACAGUGUUUGCCUCUCUGACCUGACUGAAGGGGCCUAAGGACAAAGCCUGUGUCUGUCCGGUCAUCCUAGCACUCAACGUGAGGUCUCGUGCACAGUAGGAGCUGGGGAAACAUUUACCAACAUCAAGAAGGGAAGGAGGGAGGAAGGGGUGAUGUGAACAGUAAUAAAUGAACUUGGGAAUGAAUGAAUGAGUGAGUGAGUGAGUGAGUGAGUGAGUGAGUGAGUGAAUACCCAAGGACAGAGGCUGGGGGCUCUGCUCCUCCUCUUCCUCUCAUUCUCCUGUUUCUUGACCUCUGAGGCCCCCACUGCCCACUUAUAAAAAGGGGGCAGUGCCCUCAACCCAGGGUUGCAGGCUGGGGCCCCUGGCAGCCUCAAGCUGUAGCCCUU
rnacentral:lncRNA from 1 species